rnacentral:tRNA from 1 species
GACCGCAUAGCUCAGCUGGCAGAGCAUUGGGCUAGUAUUCCAAAGGUCGUAGGUUCGAUUCCCACCGUGGCCA